GGGCACUCUAAGUUGACUGCCGGUGACAAACCGGAGGAAGGUGGGGAUGACGUCAAAUCAUCAUGCCCCUUAUGAUUUGGGCUACACACGUGCUACAAUGGACAAUACAAAGGGCAGCGAAACCGCGAGGUCAAGCAAAUCCCAUAAAGUUGUUCUCAGUUCGGAUUGUAGUCUGCAACUCGACUACAUGAAGCUGGAAUCGCUAGUAAUCGUAGAUCAGCAUGCUACGGUGAAUACGUUCCCGGGUCUUGUACACACCGCCCGUCACACCACGAGAGUUUGUAACACCCGAAGCCGGUGGAGUAACCAUUUUGGAGCUAGCCGUCGAAGGUGGGACAAAUGAUUGGGGUGAAGUCGUAACAAGGUAGCCGUAUCGGAAGGUGCGGCUGGAUCACCUCCUUU
rnacentral:rRNA from 1 species